rnacentral:lncRNA from 1 species
AUAAAUACUUGCUGCAGUUUAUAUUAGGGUUAGGCCUAUUUUAUUCUGUGUCGGCAGUGAAAUUUUAAGUGUUAUAUGCCUAAACCUAUUGUACCUCCAAGCCUUAUUGUUAUGGCUUACACCUAGAUGUGCCCCCAAAGCCUUGUGUGAUCAUAGGUGGGCUUUGGGGAGUGACUGGCUCACGGCUGAGUGACCCCGGGGUCUUCCACGGACGGUUUAUAGCUGGCUGUGACGCCGGAGAGGAAGCCUGGUGGGAGCAGGCGGGUCAGUGCGGGCGUGGCCCGGAAGGAGGUCUAUGCCUCCCCGCCCUCGAUCCCUCUCUGCUUCCUGCCCUCCCACAGACUGUUUCUCCCCUGCGAUGCCUCUCUGCCAGGCUGCCCUGCCUUGAAGCCAGCUGCUGUGGCCUGAAACCUCUACGAACUGUACUGAAGCAAACCUUUCCUCCUUUAACUUCCGGGUGCCAAGUGUUGUGUCUUAGCAGUGAGAAAGUAAGACACUUUGGGUUUUCUUUAUGUGAGUUGACACAUCUUCAUAAUUUUUAGAAAUGUACUGGAACUCAACUAAUUGUAUAUACUAUUUGUGUUGUUCUCUCUUUUUUGCUCUUAUUUAUCUUUGUUCUUUUUUCCCCCCUUUUCCUGCUCAUGAUGGCUUCUGUCACUUUGUCUGGAAAUAUCUCCAUUUCAGCCUUACCUUUAAAGGAUAUGUGUUCUGGGUACAGAAUUCUUAGUUGGCAGGUAUAGUCUUCCAGAUUCUGAUUUUUCCAUUAGGGUGCCAGCUGUCGGUCAUGUCCUUCUCUUCUGAAGUCAAGGUCCUUAUUUUCCACAGGAUGUUAAUAUUCUCUCUCUCUCUGGUUUUCCAUACCUCUCCUACCAUGUGUCUGUGGUUUCACUGUGCUUAUUCUUCUUCGGAUUGAGAGUGCUUUUUGAUUGUGUGACUUGAUGUUGUUUAUUGGUUUCUGAACAUUCUCAGCCAUUAGCAUUUCUUCCACUGCUUCUACUUCAGUCUCUCCUCUUUUCUAGGACUCCAAUUACACAUAUGUUAAGGCCAUGCCCUAUAAAUCUCUUACCCACUUUUCUAUACUUUUCACCAUUUUGACUUUUAACCUUUGAAGUUAGAUAUUUCCCACUGAUCAUCUGCCAGUUUAUAGAUCCUCUCUUCUGCAAGAUCCAAUCUCCUCUCAUGCCCAUCUACUUAAUUCUUUCUUUGUUUCUUUCUUUCUUUCUUUCUUUCUUUUGGUACCAGGGAUCGAACUUGGGUCCUUGCACUUGCGCAGUAGGCAGUGAAACCACUGAGCUAAAUCCCUGGCCAUCUACUUAAUUCUUGUAUUUGUGUUAUAACAAUCUCUUACCUAAAGUUUCCAUUUCAUUUCUUAACAAUUCCAAUUCUCCUAUAAAAUUCUGUAUUUGUUCCUUUAUUGUAUUGGAUGUUAAUCUCUGUUGUUUAUGUCUGUACCUGACAAGUCUGGCAACUGGAAUUGUCUCCUGGGACCCUUUCUCCUUGCCAACUCCUAAGCUCCAAUUUUUGUCUCUCCAACACACAGUGCUACACAGAAUUGCUCUCUACUUUGAGCCAAUUUUACUCUGCUUCUUUGUAUCUCCGCACUCCCCUAGUGUUGGGCUGUCUUCUCUAUGGCUCACCUUCCUCUACGAUCUUGUCCCUUCAAGCUCUGGGCCAUAGCAGCGUAGAAUUCUAGCUUCUUAUUCAUGUUUCUGUUCAGGUGCCUAAUUUCCACUGGAUCUGCUACCUCUUAGCUGCUGUCUCUGUCCAGCUUCUAUGUUGUGCCCACCUCACUUGGUUUCAUUCCGUUUGUGAUCGGCUCCUAAUAUGUUGACUGCCUAAGCAAUUCCCAGGGCCUCCGAGCUCAGGGAUUUUAUACUGAACCCACCUGUCACAAAUGGCUCUUACAUCACAAGAUUGGUUUUCUGAUAUGGUGGCAUUGCCACUGACCCCACUUCAGCCCACUGUACAAAGCCUGACUGGUUCCUAUCUCUCCUUUUCCUCUAAUAACUGCUCCUCUUGGAUGGAGGAAGAGGAGGCCCAGAACUGCUGCACUGAGACAGACUUAAGGACUGAAUUCACUUGCUGCACACUAGCCUUGUUAUAUCUCCCUGACUUCGAGUAGUCUGUCUUCCAAACUGUGCUAAGUGAAUUUUAGUCACACACACUAAAGUUGUUGAAUUAAAUACUCAUUUCCUCAAAGAACAAAACAUUCAGCCACACCCUUGGGGACAGUGUCCCCAAGUCAUGCUCUGCUCUCCCCGAGUAUCCGUCAGAUAAGACCCACCCCACUCCUGGCUCCAGAACCCUACAGAGAAGAGCCCACUCAGGAUCUAAAAUCCAGAGAGAGGAUGGCUAAGGAAGACGCACCUCUGCUGCAUUAGAACAAAAGAAGCACUUCCAUUUGUGAGUGUGCAUGCACCGUCUCCCGCGGGGGCUCUGCGCUGCUGUCUCCACUCACAGGGCAGGGCCAGCUCCAGGCCUGGGCAGGCAGCAGCUCAAUGCAGCACUGCACCAGGCCCGGGCUCUGCUUCCUGGACACCAGCAGUCUCUCACUGUCUCUGAAGCUUAUGCUGGAGUUCUCCUAAUUGCAUUGAAAACUGAGAAACUGAGGCAGAAAGAGAUUAAGUAAUUUGUCAAAGUCACACAGAUAAAAUUAGGGGCUGGUUCUCAUGGUACUCACAGUCUAUUAAAUAGAGAGGUUUUUGUAUUUUAGCAGAAAAAUUUAAAAUUCCAUUAAAUGUACUAUUAGCCAAAAGCUAGCAAGCAUGUGGGUGAUUGAAAAUUAACUUGAUAUUCAAUUUUCAUUAGGGCACUUGGAGUUAUGUAUUCACCGCCCGUGUCUGUGCCGUUAGUGUUUCUGGUGUCUCAUUAUUUGUCUACAAAAGAAACAUAAUCAGUCUUCUUGUCCAAGUAAUUUUAAUGGACUUUUAGUGAACUAAGCUGGAAUUAUUUUAAAAUGCUCUUAGGAAUGCUAAUAUAACUCCUUUCUAAAAGAAAAAAAGCUGUGAAAUGCAUUAAUGACAAGAAUAAGUGGGUUAACUGACAACUUCGUUGGAACUGGUGUUAAGAAAGCUGAGUGACUUUGUAUUCAGUUUGCAAAAUCGUAGUUUGCCAAGAAUGAGUAAAAUAUAAAAUGUGUGAGAGACCACUUAAUCACUACAGAAAACUUUAAAUUAAGUGCAAUGCUUAGGAACAUACGAUUCAGAAGAUUGCUAAUCUUGUUAAGAAUAUUAUUUUACUAGGCUUAUGUGCAGCAUGAUUGCUACACGGAGCAUUCAGUCAUUGUUGAUGGAACGGGCACGUCCAGAAAGACCACAUCUGUCUUUGGACAUUAAAAUGCUAGUGCUACAUUAUUUAGAUGUUAUAUAAAUAUUAUUUAAAGAGAUCCUUCUUAAGAAACUGUAGUCAUCCAUCAGGAAGAUGUUGUUAGGAGAAUGUAGCUAUAGAAUACAGCUUCCUACAGUUGAAAUUGUCUGGCAUUCCCUCUGGAUUUUUAGUGUAAUGGCAAAGAACCGAAUCAACAAAUAUUAAAUAUCUGAAUAUCUACAGUGUGUGGACAACAAUGCCUGUGGCUUAGUUAACUCUUCCUCACAUUUUUAAAACUGGUUUUUGUUAUUUUCUGUGCUUUUCUGUUAGGAAUUCCCCCCAACAUACAUACAUAAAAUACUCUACAUCUCAAUGUAUCACAUUUAUCAUAUCUUUAAUGCCCAUGGGAGGAAGCUUUCUAGCAAGACAGACGUGGCACUGUGUUAGUUUCCUUGGCUGCUGUAAUAAAUUACUGCUAAUGUGGUGGCUUCAAACAAGUCAUCGUCCCGGUGCUGGGGGCGAGAAGUCUGAGGUCGAAGUGCAGAGGGCCUCACUCCUGGUGCCUGCAGACAGAAACACUCCUGGCUCCCACGGCUUCCGGAAGACAUCAGCACCCUUAACUCCCAGCCUCUUGGGCCUGAGCCUCUGCCUGCACGUCCCCUUCUCUGUGUGUGUGUCUCCUCCGGGUUCCUCUUAUUGGGACUCUUGUCAUGGCAUGUAGCACUCAUCCCGUGUGCCAGUCAGCACCACGAGUCAGCGCGGCUGGGUGGAGAUGCCUGUAGAGGUGAGUGGGCCGUGGGGUGCUCUUCUCCUCCAUGGAUCACAGCACUGAGGCUCACAGCUGAGUGCUCUGUUAGGAGUGGGGCCCCAUUGGAGGCGGUCACUGAGGUGUGCCUUGGAGCCUUCUCUGGCUCUCUUGCCCUGUGCUCUGUUUCCCAGUCGCCGUGCACUAGCAGUUCUGCUCCUUCCCACCCUGCCACCAUGAGGUUCCUGCCUUGGAGCCCUGGACUCCACUCAUGGGCUGAGACCUCAAACAAAAAUAAACCUCUCCUUUACACUGUGAA